GACGAACGCUGGCGGCGUGCUUAACACAUGCAAGUCGAGCGGUAAGGCCCUUUCGGGGGUACACGAGCGGCGAACGGGUGAGUAACACGUGGGUGACCUGCCCUCAGCUCUGGGAUAAGCCUGGGAAACUGGGUCUAAUACUGGAUAUGACUCCACGGUGCAUGUCGUGGGGUGGAAAGCCUUGUGCGGCUGAGGAUGGGCCCGCGGCCUAUCAGCUUGUUGGUGGGGUGANGGCCUACCAAGGCGACGACGGGUAGCCGGCCUGAGAGGGCGACCGGCCACACUGGGACUGAGACACGGGCCCAGACUCCUACGGGAGGCAGCAGUGGGGAAUCUUGCGCAAGUGGGCGAAAGCCUGACGCAGCGACGCCGCGUGAGGGAUGACGGCC
rnacentral:rRNA from 1 species